rnacentral:rRNA from 1 species
GUUAUAUGGUCAAGCGACUAAGCGCACAUGGUGGAUGCCUUGGCGGCAGAAGGCGAUGAAGGACGUGGUAGCCUGCGAUAAGCCUCGGGGAGCCGGCAAACUGGCUUUGAUCCGGGGAUUUCCGAAUGGGGAAACCCACCGCAUAGGCGGUGUCGCAUACUGAAUUCAUAGGUAUGCGAAGCAAACCCGGUGAAUUGAAACAUCUCAGUAACCGGAGGAACAGAAAUCAACCGAGAUUCCGCAAGUAGUGGCGAGCGAACGCGGAUCAGCCCAGUCACGAUCAGUCGGAGGACCCUAGCAGAACGGGAUGGAAAGCCCGGCCAUAGACGGUGAUAGCCCGGUACGCGAAAGGGAAGACCGAUGAGUGACGAAGAGUAGGGCGGGACACGUGUAAUCCUGUCUGAACAUAGGGGGACCAUCCUCUAAGGCUAAAUACUCUCUGCCGACCGAUAGUGAACCAGUACCGUGAGGGAAAGGCGAAAAGAACCCCGGAGAGGGGAGUGAAAUAGAACCUGAAACCGUGUGCGUACAAGCAGUGGGAGCCCCGUAAGGGGUGACCGCGUACCUUUUGUAUAAUGGGUCAGCGAGUUACUUUCAGUGGCGAGCCUAACCGCAUAGGGGAGGCGUAGGGAAACCGAGUCUUAAUCGGGCGCCAAGUCGCUGGGAGUAGACCCGAAGCCAGUCGAUCUAUCCAUGUCCAGGAUGAAAGUAGGGUAAUGCCUGCUGGAGGUCCGAACGAACUACUGUUGCAAAAGUAGUCGAUGAGGUGUGGAUAGGAGUGAAAGGCUAAUCAAGGCUGGCGAUAGCUGGUUCUCCUCGAAAGAUAUUUAGGUAUCGCCUCGAGUAUUACUUCCGGGGGUAGAGCUCUGUUUAGGCUAGGGGGACAUCCCGUCCUACCAAACCUGUGCAAACUGCGAAUACCGGAAAGUAGAAGCUCGGGAGGCACACGGCGGGUGCUAACGUCCGUCGUGAAGAGGGAAAUAACCCAGACCAUCAGCUAAGGUCCCGAAGUUGCGGCUAAGUGGGAAAGGAUGUGGGAAGUCAUAGACAGCCAGGAGGUUGGCUUAGAAGCAGCCAUCCUUUAAAGAAAGCGUAAUAGCUCACUGGUCUAGUCGGCCUGCGCCGAAGAUUUAGCGGGGCUCAAGCCGUACACCGAAGCUAUGGAUUUGGCCGCAAGGCCAAGUGGUAGAGGAGCGUUCCGUAAGCCUGUGAAGGCGUGUCGCGAGGCAUGCUGGAGGUAUCGGAAGUGCGAAUGCUGACAUGAGUAACGUUAAAACGGGUGAAAAACCCGUUCGCCGAAAACCCAAGGUUUCCUGCCCAACGUUAAUCGGGGCAGGGUGAGUCGGCACCUAAGGCGAGGCCGAAAGGCGUAGUCGAUGGAAAGCAGGUCAACAUUCCUGCACCGGGUGCUGCUGCGAUGGGGUGACGGAGAAGGCUAGAUCGGCCGGGUUCGGAAUAUCCGGUUCAAGCGUGUAGGGAGGACUUCCUGGUAAAUCCGGAGGUCCGUCAAUCCCGAGGCGUGACGACGAGGUCCUAUUGGACCGAAGUGAUUGAUGCCCGGCUCCCGGGAAAAGCCUCUAAGCUUCAGGCAGCAUCUGGCCGUACCGUAAACCGACACUGGUGGGUGAGGAGAAAAUCCUAAGGCGCUUGAGAGAACUCGGGUUAAGGAACUCUGCAAGUUGACACCGUAACUUCGGGAGAAGGUGUGCCUCUUGUGGUGAUUGGACUUGCUCCAUGAGCUGCGAGAGGUCGCAGGUAAUCGGGGGCUGCGACUGUUUAUCAAAAACACAGGACUCUGCGAACACGCAAGUGGAUGUAUAGGGUCUGACGCCUGCCCGGUGCCGGAAGGUUAAGUGAUGAGGUCAGCGCAAGCGAAGCUUCUGAUCGAAGCCCCGGUAAACGGCGGCCGUAACUAUGAAGAGAAUGGAUGAACAGUCUGGACCGAGUUGUAGUUACGUAAAUAAACCUGGCUAUAUGCUGGAAUAGCUGAGUAUCCGGUGGUACCACGCGAGAGCGGGGUGACAAUCCAUCCGGUGCAGCCAAUCAGCAGGAAAGGCCGGUCAUCCGACCGGAAUCCUCAGAGACUGUACGCCGGGCUUCGCCGAUCGAUGAGAAAAGCGAAGAUGAGACAGUCCGAUCUGCAUGGCGACAUGCAGGAAAGUGAUCAGAUCCGAAGUCUGAUUGCUUCGCGAGCGAUGCCUGAUUCUGGUAUCGAUCGAAACAGCAAUGAACGGUCCUAAGGUGGAAUUUGCUGCCUUAGUAAAAUCUGGCUAUAUGCUGGAAACACUGAGUAUCCGGUGGUACCGCGCGCAAGCACGGUGACAAUCCAUCCGGUGCAGUCAAUCAGCAGGAAAGGCCGAUCGCAAGAUCGGAAUCCUCAGAGACUACACGCCAGACAUCAUCGGCUCGAAAGAGCUGGUGUUGAAGAUAUAGUCCCGUCUGCAUGGCGACAUGCAGGAGCGAUGAAAAUGCUCAUUGCUCGCUCAAUACCCUCCAAGGGUAUCGAGAAAGACAUCAAGCGAAAUUCCUUGUCGGGUAAGUAACAUUGCCCGGGGCGGUGGCGACACCGUCUCGAUAACCGGCUCAAAUCGGUGGAACCCCACCGGCAUCCGUGCAGGGUGCCGCGGGCAAUACCGAGGGUAAGAUCGAACGAAAGUUCGUUCCCCGUAACGACUCAGGGGUUGAGAUCCCUGGAUGGCCGCAAGGCCAUAACACGCCGGCCCUGAUCAUCAGCAGCGACGAGACCGCUCAAUCGUCGUGAUCAGGUGAACGUAUAGUCUAUGCCGCGGGAAACCGUGGAGAUCAUGAAGUUCCGACCUGCACGAAUGGCGUAACGCUGGCCCCACUGUCUCGACCCGAGACUCAGUGAAGUUGAAAUCGCUGUGAAGAUGCGGCGUUCCCGCGGAAAGACGGAAAGACCCCGUGAACCUUUACUGUAGCUUUACGCUGAACUUUGAACUUGCCUGUGUAGCAUAGCUGGGAGCCUUUGAAGCCUGGGCGCUAGCCCGGGUGGAGGCAACGGUGAAAUACCAGCCUGGUGCGUUCGAAGUUCUAACCUAGGUCCAUUAUCUGGAUCGGGAACCGCGUAUGGUAGGCAGUUUGACUGGGGCGGUCUCCUCCUAAAGAGUAACGGAGGAGUGCAAAGGUACCCUCAGCGCGGUCGGUCAUCGCGCACAGAGUGCAAUGGCACAAGGGUGCUUGACUGUGAGACGAACAUGUCGAGCAGGUGCGAAAGCAGGUCAUAGUGAUCCGGUGGUUCUGUAUGGAAGGGCCAUCGCUUAACGGAUAAAAGGUACUCCGGGGAUAACAGGCUUAUUCCUCCCAAGAGUCCACAUCGACGGAGGAGUUUGGCACCUCGAUGUCGGCUCAUCACAUCCUGGGGCUGUAGCAGGUCCCAAGGGUUCGGCUGUUCGCCGAUUAAAGUGGUACGCGAGCUGGGUUCAGAACGUAGACAACACUGCGUUGCCAGGGAGUAAUUCCUGGGCAAUAAAUUGGCUCAUAUCGGUGGAGCCCUCCUGGAGCGACGAACGGCUCCAAAGGGUAAUACCGAGGGAAGGCGGGUAAUGAUGGACGCCACGAUCCUUGCAUAUAUCGCAGGAUUCCUGGACGGCGAUGGCAGCAUUUUCUUUCAGCUGGUGAGGCGAAAGGAUUACUGUCACGGAUUCCAGAUUAGGACUUCGCUGGCUUUCUACCAGAAGACGGAGAAUGAAGAGAUUCUCCUCUGGCUGAAGCAGCAGUUCUCAUCCGGAUACAUUCGCCGUCGCAAGACGGGUAUCACCGACUAUACGAUCGUGGAGCCGGGCGAAGUCCGAAGGAUCCUCGAGCUCUUGCAGCCUUACGUGCGCCUGAAGAAGGAGCACGUGCGGUUGGGCUUGGAGAUUCUGGAAAGGCUUCCUCUGGCGGAAGAUGCGACGGAGCUCGUUUCGUUGUGUCUGCUCGUCGAUCGAUUCCAGGUGAUCAACUAUUCGAAGAAGCGGACCAACACUUCUGAGGUAGUGAUCGAUUACCUGAAAUCACAUGGUUACCUUGCCCCUGUAGAGACUGAUCCUGAAAAGGAGAGAGUCGUCGGUUUGGCCGGCGGCUAAGACGCCAAUCCCCUCCGCUGCAGGCGAAGGGUGAAGGUAUAGUCCAUGCCACCCGAAAUGGUGGAUCAACAUGCGUGAGACAGUUCGGUCCCUAUCUUCCGUGGGCGUUGGAGAUUUGAGGGUGAGCUGCUCCUAGUACGAGAGGACCGGAGUGGACGCGCCUCUGGUGUUCCGGUUGUCGUGCCAACGGCACUGCCGGGUAGCUAUGCGCGGACGGGAUAACCGCUGAAAGCAUCUAAGCAGGAAGCCCCCCCCAAGAUGAGAUCUCCCUGAGGACUUGAUCCUCCUGAAGGGCCGUCGAAGACUACGACGUUGAUAGGCUGGGUGUGUAAGGCCGGUAACGGCUUCAGCUAACCAGUACUAAUUGCCCGUGAGGCUUGACCAUAUAACACCCAAGGAG